GCAAAUGCAACACUAGAAAUAUUGUUCCCUGCUUUUAUUUGGCCAGCUGCUGCUAUGAUUUUAAGCUCCUGAAUCUUACCGGUUGCAGGUUGAGAUGGUUUGGGGGAGUUGUGCUGCGAGUGCGAGUGCUUGCUCUCUUCCUCUUCUUGAAGUUGAAAUUCUGAGCCACAAUCGCAAGCCCUCAUUCCUCCACUCCAAUUCUCACCCUCUUGCACUCAGACAGCGACGCUCCUCAACUCUCACCAAUUAUUCCACACCCUCCUCAUCCUCCUCCUCCUGCUCUAAACUUCAACCUUCACUUUGUUUCCAACCCCACAAAACCAAAGAUUCAUCAACAACUUUGCCGCAAAAAGCACUUGUGGGUUUUGUUGUUCUUGGGUCAGUUUUCUUUGCUGGGUUUGGCUGUUUCAAAUGGGCAGCUGUGUCGCGAGCUGCUCAAACUACUCCAAAUCUGGAGGACAAGACAGAGACUACCCACCAAGGGAAAAUUGAGGAGGAGGAGGAGCAAAUGUACCACAAAAUUCUGGUGGAUGACCCAAAAAAUGUUGGUGCUUUGAAGGUUGUUUUGUAUGGGAAACUGAGGAGAGGGAAGGCAGAGGAGGCUGUCAGCUAUGUGGAGAGGUUAAUUGAGCUCGAGCCGCACGAGCUCGAAUGGAGGCUAAUGCUGCCUCUUUGUUAUGAGAUCAUGGGCCAACUCACUUGUGCUAAAACAUUGUAUCAGCAAAUCUUGGAGGACAGGCCUCUUUUGCUCAGAGCUUUGCAUGGUCUGGCAUUGGUUAUGCACAAAAACCAUGAAGGUCCAGCUGUUUUUUCAAUGCUUAAUAAGGCUUUAGAAAUUGCACGGCGUGAAAAAAGAGUUGUUGAGGAGAGGAAUAUAAGAAUUCUGAUUGCACAGAUGCAUGUUAUAAUGGGAGAACUGGAAGAAGGCUUGAACAAAUUCCAAGAUCUGGUCAAUGCAGAUCCACGAGAUUUUCGGCCUUAUCUUUGUCGGGGAAUUAUCUACAGUCUACUAGAUCAGAAAAAGGAAGCUGCAGAACAGUUUGAAACAUAUCGGGCUUUAGUGCCUGAAGAAUUUCCACAAAGGGGAUUUCUUAAUGAUGUUGUGUUGGCAGCAGCCAACAACAAAUGCGGGGAACAGUUUAAGAAGGAUUUUCAUAAGGAGUUCUCAUACCGGAAGUGACGAUUGCACUUUUAUAUCUGGGAUCUGUUGCAAUUAUACAUUUAACUGCAGAGUAUCGUUCAUAUACCAGGGCUGGGUUCGGUUGCAUUUAACUGGAUUUGAGAUUGGUGUUCUUGCGUAGUUUGGGAUUCAGCUAGAGAAUGUUGUUGUCUGAGAGACUCCAUCAACUUUCCCUUCUACUGGAAUUAAUCAAUAACCUCAUUGCUUGGGCUGCCACUAUCCUCCUCCUAAUCCCACGACUUGCACUUGUAAUGCAGUGAUUUGAAAUUGCGAGCGUACAUGUCAAUGUUGAGGGAUUCCAACAGACGGAAAUGGUUAAAAUAAUGUGAAGAAGGCAAUAACGAAAAGCAGUGAUGCAUAUGCGUAACUUAAGGCGUGCCUCUGCCCGGCAGCACUUAGUAGAUCAAUCUGUACCCGGAAUAGACAAUCUCCUUUGGAGGGAUCGCGUGUUACCUUUGUUCCCAUGCCGCUGAAA